rnacentral:rRNA from 1 species
UACGUAGGGACCGAGCGUUGUCCGGAUUCAUUGGGCGUAAAGAGCUCGUAGGCGGCUGUUCAAGUCGAACGUGAAAACUCGGAGCUCAACUCCGAGCCUGCGUUCGAUACUGGACGGCUAGAGUCUGGUAGGGGGAUCUGGAAUUCCUGGUGUAGCGGUGGAAUGCGCAGAUAUCAGGUGGAACACCCGUAGCGAAGGCGGCACUCUGGGCCGGAACUGACGCUGAGGAGCGAAAGCAUGGGGAGCGAACAGG